AGCUCCAAUAGCGUAUAUUAAAGUUGUUGCGGUUAAAAAGCUCGUAGUUGGAUUUCUGCUGAGGACGACCGGUCCGCCCUCUGGGUGAGUAUCUGGCUUGGCCUUGGCAUAUUCUUGGAGAACGCAGCUGCACUUGACAGUGUGGUGCGGUAUCCAGGAUUUUGACUUUGAGGAAGUUAGAGUGUUUCAAGCAAGCACACGCCUUGAAUACAUUAGCAUGGAAUAAUAAGAUAGGACCUUGGUUCUAUUUUGUUGGUUUCUAGAGCUGAGGUAAUGAUUAAUAUGGAUAGUUGGGGGAAUUCGUAUUUAACAGUCAGAGGUGAAAUUCUUGUAUUUGUUAAAGACGGACUACUGCGAAAGCAUUUGCCAAGGAUGUUUUCA
rnacentral:rRNA from 1 species